AAGCACAAAAUGAUGCAAAAAAACAGCGGUCCUUUCAUUGCUGAUUGUUCGGGACGUUUGACUUCCUUCUUCUUCUUCUUCUUUCAAAGCUGAAUAGGACCAUAACAGAUGUUGUUCACGUCUGUUCAAAAACAUGGCAAAGUAGCAUUCGUAUUCAGAAAAGAUAGAAAUGUAUAACUUGUUGGUUUGUCAAUUUUUAUGUUAAGAAAUCGUCUCCCAGACAAUGAACUUUACUUUCGCUCUUGGACUUGAUUACAUAAAUUAAACACUUACUGAUAUAACACA